rnacentral:rRNA from 1 species
UGAAGCUGGAUUCGCUAGUAAUCGCGCAUCAGCCACGGCGCGGUGAAUACGUUCCCGGGCCUUGUACACACCGCCCGUCAAGCCAUGGGAGCCGGGGGUACCUGAAGUACGUAACCGCAAGGAGCGUCCUAGGGUAAAACUGGUGACUGGGGCUAAGUCGUAACAAGGUACC